ACUAAUCAUUAUCCUCAACUUACAAAUUUCCCUUAAUUAAGAAAUCUUCGAUCACAAGAUUAGGGAUUUAUCUUCAGCUAUUCAACAGAAUCACCCAACGCCAUCUGUUAAUUGGUUCAUUUUUUUUUGUCACGACUUGUAUCCCCAGAUUUUACCUUCUUGAUUUUGGAAACAAAAUCACCUAACUCUAUAUUUUCAUUGGUUUAAUCUCUCAAGGUCAUUAUUCACGACCAAAUGUUCAAUCUUUCUCUCCUCAUGAGCCCUAAUCCAUCCUCUAUGUCGAUCCAAACAUUCUUUUAUGGAAUUCUCAACAAAUUAAAGGUUCAUUGGUAUGUUCAUCUUCUUCACCUAUACAACCAAACGAUUGUCGAAGAAAGAAGUCAAAUUAGAGCUUUUCGAGAUAAUAAAGAAGGCGAAUGCAGAUAAGAGUGCAACAAAGAACGAUAACCCUGCAUCCUCACUAUGUAGAGAUCAGUGGUUGCUCCACAGUGGCUUCCAUUUACAGAGCUAUAAGGUGGAGUCGUCUUAGUUACAACACAACUCUCCUACACAAAUCUUGUUUCAAUUUUGGAAGAAGUUGGUUCGAUGAGAUGGUUAAGUUUUUCAUGGUUAACUACCGGGAAGACCCAUGUGUGACUACCUUUUUUGAUUAUCCAACUAGAGGUGUAAAACUAAAAUCUUGGAAGAAAAUGGGGUACUGGUUACUCUAUAAAAGCUCAUUCUGAUCCUAAUGUUCUUUGUGGACAUAUAACUUUCCAAAGAAGUAGAUCAUAUAUUGAAGAUAAUGAUCAGAAACAGAAAAGACGAGAUAUAGAUAUGCACAUGUGCUAUUUGUUUUCAAAUAGCAGUGGGGAGAAAGGAUAAAACCUGCUCUUUGUGAAGCUGUAGCGCUCUACAACUCAAACAGUGGUCUACAUCCUUCAAACAGGCUGUAUUGCUCCAAGUAAGUGAUUUUAUCAUCUGGUACACAAAAGAUAAACAAUAAGAGCAAAAAGGAGAAAAAGAGAAAAGAGAAUCAACUGACCAUGCUAUCUUCAUCCAGUAUAAUUAUCUGUAUGUAUUAGAGGAAAUUCAUCGAACAGUUGGCGGGUAAGUGCUAAGCAUUCCUUUUUUUCCUCCACAACACGCACACAUACACACAUACAAAAGAAAAACCCAAACUGGGGUUCACAUAGAAAUACAAUUUCAACCAGAAAAAAACCCAAUAUGCUAUUUCAUAGGUAUGAGCGUGAGAUGAAAUGAAACUUACACACAAAACAAAAAUGAUUGUUUGUAUGUGAUCGCGCACCGGAAAGAGAUAAGGAGAGAUGCCUUUUUCAAGUUUAUAUGUGAUUGCAAAUGUCAGAAAAAGAGAGGCCUUAGAGUGAACCAACCAAUGAAGGUAGUGUAGGUUACAAAGGGUCGACAUGUGUGAUGAAAUGACAGGAUUGAGUGGUGGUGGCGGUGGAGUGUACGGUUUUUGGAGAAUGGGGGGAUUAUAAGGGAGCUGAGACGCGAAGAGGCUUAGGUUGAUGGGGGAUAAGGAAUGAGGACCUGUUCAAGAGGCAGAAAUCCAAGGAAGAUUGGUUUACUUUGACUCAUUGGUUGACGGUUAAGUUUGUGAUGCAUAAAUUGCUUGUAAAUAUUGUAGUAAUGUUUGUAUCUCUUAAAAUUCGGUAUUUAGGUACAAAUGCUUA